GCUUUUUGGUCUUUCCUGCUGCCUUGUGAAGAAGGUGCUUGUUUCUUCUUUGCCUUCUGCCAUGAUUGCCAUGUGAAUCGCACCCCUGGAACUGUGCAGGGCCCACCUGUGUGGCCACACGCAGUGACCCUGAGCAAAGGAGUGACCACAGAAGUGCAUGGCAAAGCAGAAAGGUGUGACGUCUUGGAGGACGCGGGAGGAAAGCACGCCCAGCGGACAGGAGCCAUCACGCGGCUGCGGGCUGCUGCUGAGAACCUGGCGUGGGCCACCGUCGUCAGCAGCGUGGAGGAACGCAUAUGCUGCCUCCUUUCUGA
rnacentral:lncRNA from 1 species